CCCUGCCUUUCUUCUUUCCUUGUUCACGUCAAAAUUGGGCAGAGAGAAAGGGAACCUCGUUCAGCUCUUCCCUUCCACGUUGCCAUCAUGCAAGGGGCAACUCUCCUAGUGAACCAUCUCAGACCUUCAAAAGGGAGAACCCAGGCCAGAGAUCUUCAUUCACCCUCCUCUUCUCACCCUUCCUCUCGUUCCUGUGCAUAUCAGUGUGUUUGCGUGCCCCGAAACACCUAGUUAGAGACCUUCGAUCAAGAAACUUUCUUCAUCAAAGUUGUUCAUCUCUGUCUCUUCUAUCUAGCCUCCAAAUUUUAACUCCAUUUCAGUCGUUUUGAGACCUGUACACCCCUCGAAAUGGGAGCUGUUCAGAAGCGAGCCUGUUCCGAAUUUCUGCUUGAAUUCCCUCUCUUGCUCUACCCGAAUCCCCCACAUCUUGCUUGAGACUGAUACCAACAGUUGGUAAGAUUCUUGAACCAUAAAGUUUCCAUUUCUUUCCUCAAUUUUUAGGCUUAAUAGGUUCAAAACAACUCUUCUACAUAUUAAGAAGUUUCUGUUUCACUCUGCGUGUUCGAGAUUGAGUGAACUUCUUGGCCUGCAACUGGGCUCGAUCUAAUCAACUCCCUCAGUUCUCUUUCCUGUUGAAGCUCUCAAGAAAAACUCAUCUUUUUGGUUAGUCUUUGGCUCGAUAUCGUGGUAGGAUCAUGUGAAGUUGGUGGUUGCUACAAGGUUGCAUCGAGGCCAAGUACGGCAAGAGAAAGCCUGAGUUCCAGGUAGGGGAUGCCUUUAACUCUAUCUAUGCUUUUCUUGCAUAUACUAUGUUUUAUAUGAAGCCUCUUGCAUAGUUUUGGAAAUUAUCUGUUAUUUUUACAAUUGAAAUGGUUUGCGUGGUUGAAUUGAUGUGUUGGCAAUUGAUGGGGAUGUAAGGAGAGGUUUGUUCCUCCUUGAGCUACCGGUGGUCGGCAGUGUGCACCAUGCCCUUGUUAUUGAAUUAUCCCCUUUGUCUCUAGCCUUGUGAUAAUUGACUUCCUGAAAGUGAUUGGCUAGAUGGACGGUUAUGAUGGAAGUUGUGGAAGAAGAUCAAUUGCCGUGGGAUUGUAAUUACGUGGUGACGAUCACGUGGAUCGCAAACCGGUUUUUAUCUACUACUUUUAUUCAAAACGAUAACUCAUGUUUUUAAACUUAGAUAUGGGGGCGGGCAUGGGCAAUGACUGGAUGUAGGAGCCUAACCCCUACUUUAGUUUGUUUUGCAGGCUGUUGUUGUCGAAGCUUGGGUACGGAGGAUAAUCUUUGGAGGCCAUAAUUUGUUUUGUUUAAAGUUUGUUUUUAUUUGGCUUGUUCGAUCUUGUUAAAUUUUUGUAACGUUAUGUAUGGUU